rnacentral:ncRNA from 1 species
UCAACAGCGAUGAUCGGGAAAGUAAGAAGGAGUAAGGCUCUUUCAGGGAGGCUGUACCAAAGACUGGGAGUACGGCCAGGGCCGUCUUUCUGAAGUUCGCCUGUUAGCUGCACCGCUGAAUACCUGUUUAAUAUAGGUUAUUAGGUGGUGCCGGUGGUGCCGUUAAAACCGGAGUUUACCCUAAAGUGGCCUCUUAUGGCAAAGAAGGGUGGUACCGCGUGGGUAUUUAGACCCCCGUCCCUUAG